AGCGAACGCUGGCGGCAGGCCUAACACAUGCAAGUCGAACGAACUCUUCGGAGUUAGUGGCGGACGGGUGAGUAACACGUGGGAACGUGCCUUUCGGUUCGGAAUAACUCAGUGAAACUUGUGCUAAUACCGAAUGUGCCCUUCGGGGGAAAGAUUUAUCGCCUUUAGAGCGGCCCGCGUCCGAUUAGCUAUUUAGUGAGGUAACGGCUCACCAAGGCGACGAUCAGUAGCUGGUCUGAGAGGAUGGCCAGCCACACUGGGACUGAGACACGGCCCAGACUCCUACGGGAGGCAGCAGUGGGGAAUAUUGCGCAAUGGGCGAAAGCCUGACGCAGCCAUGCCGCGUGAAUGAUGAAGGUCUUAGGAUUGUAAAAUUCUUUCACCGGGGACGAUAAUGACGGUACCCGGAGAAGAAGCCCCGGCUAACUUCGUGCCAGCCGCCGCAGUAA
rnacentral:rRNA from 1 species